AGGCGGCGGCUGGGCCGGCCCAGAACUGGGUCGUGGAAGGAUCGCGGGGAGCGGCCCUCAGGCCUCCGGCCUCACUGCGUCCCCACUUCCCUGCGCCCGCCUGCCGCCGAGCCCCGGCUGGGGGUGGGCGCGGCGCGAGCUGUUAAAGGGCCGGUGCAUUUAAAGGAGCCGUGCACGUGGGUCUCUGAGGCGUGUAGCAGGCGGGGGCGUUUUGUUCUUCCUCUCUCUCGCCGGAGACCACCGUUGCGCCGAGUCCAUCUGGCCUCCAGCACCGGGCCCUGGGCAUGCUUUCCCCGGGAAGGAGGCGCGCGGGGGCUCAGCCUGCACGUGAGGGGCAGGGCCGCAGGCUCAAGCCUAGAGCCGGUUUCUGUUAGCAGCGGUGUUUGGCUGUUUUAUCAGGCAUUUCCAGCAGUGAGGAGACAGCCAGAAGCAAGCUUUUGGAGCUGAAGGAACCUGAGACAGAAGCUAGUCCCCACUCCGAAUUUUACUGAUGAAGAAACUGAGGCCACAGAGCUAAAGUGACUUUUCCCAAGGUCGCCCAGCGAGGACUGUGGGACUUCUCAGACGUCAGGAGAGUGAUGUGAGGGAGCUGUGUGACCAUAGAAAGUGACGUGUUAAAAACCAGCGCCGCCCUCUUUGAAAGCCAGGGAGCAUCGUUCAUUUAGCCUGCUGAGAAGAAGAAACCAGGUGUCCGGGAUUCAAACCUUUCUGGGGCCCCAAGUGUUCGUGGU
rnacentral:sRNA from 1 species